rfam:Triticum aestivum genome assembly, contig: Triticum_aestivum_CS42_TGACv1_scaffold_081311_1DS
CAUGUACUCCCUCCGUUCCGAAUUACUUAUCACAGGUAUGAAUGUAUUUAGAUGUAUUUUAGUUGUAGAUACAUCCAUUUCUGCGACGAGUAAUUUGGAACGGAGGGAGUAGCAG